rnacentral:piRNA from 1 species
UGGGUGCCAGGAAGUCUAAGCUGAAUGAC